CUGGCCACCUCCCCCACAUUUAACCAGUCUUUCUGUUUUAUUCCACUUCCACACCAAACCCUCCUCUUUCUUCUUCUUAUUUCUCACACCCAAGAGACAAGAUCCUAUCUUUCUUUCCUCAAAUCUCAACCCUGUUCUCUCUAUCCACCGCCUCCACCUCUCCUCCCUUCCCUUCGCCUCUCAAUCAGCCACAAUGGGCAAGGGUGGAUCUCUCAGCGACAGUGUCUUGAAGAAGAUCCUUCUCUCCUACACCUAUGUUGGCAUCUGGAUCUUCCUCUCCUUCACUGUCAUUGUUUACAACAAGUACAUCCUCGACAAGAAGAUGUAUAAUUGGCCUUUUCCCAUCUCCCUUACCAUGAUCCAUAUGUCCUUCUGUGCCACUCUCGCUUUCCUUCUCAUCAAGGUCUUCAAAUUUGUUGAACCCGUCACCAUGUCUCGGGAUCUCUACCUCUCCUCCGUCGUACCCAUUGGCGCUCUUUAUUCUCUCAGCCUUUGGCUUUCCAAUUCUGCCUACAUCUACUUGUCUGUUUCCUUUAUUCAGAUGCUCAAAGCGCUCAUGCCGGUCGCCGUCUAUUCGAUUGGGGUUUUGUUUAAAAGAGAGGGUUUCAAGACCGAUACCAUGGUCAACAUGUUGUCGAUCUCAUUCGGCGUCGCUAUUGCAGCUUAUGGGGAAGCAAGAUUUGAUUCCUGGGGGGUUUUUCUCCAACUGGGAGCUGUUGCUUUUGAGGCCACCAGACUGGUAUUGAUUCAAAUCUUGCUUACAUCUAAGGGGAUAACACUCAACCCUAUUACUUCCCUUUAUUACGUCGCGCCUUGCUGUUUAGUUUUCUUGUUUGUGCCUUGGAUUUUCGUGGAAUACCCUGUUUUGAAGGAGAGUUCGAGCUUUCAUUUUGAUUUUGUCAUCUUUGGGACCAAUUCUUUAUGUGCAUUCGCCUUGAAUCUUGCCGUGUUUUUACUUGUGGGGAAGACUUCCGCUUUGACAAUGAAUGUGGCUGGUGUGGUCAAGGAUUGGUUGUUGAUCGCUUUCUCUUGGUCAGUCAUCAAGGAUACAGUGACCCCAAUUAACUUGUUUGGAUAUGGGCUUGCGUUUUUGGGUGUUGCCUAUUACAAUCAUGCCAAAUUGCAGGCAUUGAAGGCUAAGGAGGCUCAAAAGAAGGCCCAACAAGCCGAUGAGGAGGCUGGAAGGUUGUUGGAGGAGAGGGAGGGAGAAGGAACCGGGAAGAGAAGUGAAUCACAAAACUAAUCUUUUAUUUAAGGGAGUUAAUUUUAGAUAUGAAAUUGGAUGGAGAGUAUUGGAAAUAAGAGCAAAAGGAAGGCAAAGUAGUACCGGGCUUUGGUAUUGGGGGCAAAAGGAAUGGAGGGUGUCUUAGUUUUCUUUUGCUCAUUCGGUACUGUUGUUCUUAGGUUCAUGUUUAUUAUGCUAGUCAUGGAUGUUAGUUAUGUUAGGGAUCUGGGAUCCUAUCUCAGGUGCCCUGUUAUUUUUUUUUGUCCUUUAUAUCUCCCAUGUUUAUGUAGGAACGUCUUUUAUUGAUGAAACUUUAGUGCUUAUUUAUUCAUAUAUUUUCUUCUUGCUCAUACAGAUCCUUCACAUUUUAUUGUCAAUUUUUUCUGUCAUGUCUUAUACUUGUUCUAUUUGAUGUGAUUUGCUUCGGUUGUGCGAACUUUAGAAGUUCAUGUGGUAAUUGUUUGAGGAAUAAAUAAGCUUUGUUCUGAAUCAGGACAAUGCCAGUCUUAGUAAAAUGUGAUUUGGAAGGUGAAUGAGUUGGGGAAGAAAUUUGCAAUGAGAAACAAUGUUUUUAUUGUGAAGAAAAUUUACUGCUGUUGAAUUGUGAGUUACAGAUAUACGUGGCAUCUACAUGGUGGUUGAGACUAGAGAUUUGUGCUCUGUUUUGCUGCUAACCAUGGGAAAUGAGUCUUUGAGUUCUUUCAGAUGCAUGCAACUUUGGGUUGGCAUGGCAAGGGCAUCUAUUAGGAUUGCAGUGUUGCCUUUCUAGUUUCUAGUCUUUACAUUUUAUUGAAACAAAGGUCUGAGUCAUAGCAAUGUGACAUCCAGUAUGGUCCAGAUUACCAGAGUACGACUUAGAGGAUAAUGAAAUUUUCAUUUGAUAUAUGUAUCCCCUAGCUUUUUAAUGGAAUGUCUGGAGGGGAUUCCUCAGAGAGGGGUAUGCAGUCUGUUGUUCCAUUGGUCUUGGAUGGAUCUGAUAUGCUUCUUUACCUUGAUGAAUAGUUCCUCCGGUAUCCAACUUUAGUGCACCCUGAAGAGGAGGAGAUCUAUCAUUCAUGAUCUUGUUCUUGUAUGUUUUGGGCAUGGAUUGAGCAGAUGCCAAGGGUGGUAUUCUUGAUUCUUAAUUGGGGCUAGCUGGCUAAGUGUCCCCUGCAAUGUGAAUUUCCAGAAUCAGCUUCUUGCUUUUUGUUUCUCCUGAUCCGUUCCAGGAGGACUAGGGAACAAGCUUUUUCCCUGAGGAGCUCACCAACAACUUUUCCUUAAAAAUGGAGUGGGUCAACACCAACAGCUGAGAUGUACAAUUUGUUCUGACAUCCCAAUGCUAUCGCGUUGGGUUGGUAGUUUGACAAAGUGUUUUCUACUAGAAAGAGAAAAGAGGAAAGAAGACGCGUUUUUCUUUUUUCUAAGAAAGCAGGGAUGAGUUUUCUUUGUUCAUAUUCAGCAAUUGUCCUCACGUUGGUGCAUAUCCCUUUUCCUGAUCAAUCACUUGUUACCAACAAUGCCCCUUUUUGGAGAAGAUUACUACGCCAAUGUUGCCGGCUUGGAACGGACACACAAUACUCGGUUUUGCUUGAAAUGGUACACAAUACACACGAUUAGCCAUUGAAUUCCAGUUCCUUAGGGGAGAACAUAUAGAUUACAUCUCAUCAAGUACUGCAUUUGGUCG
rnacentral:misc_RNA from 1 species